AGGAGAGGUAUUGAAAAUUGGUGUAUGUAAAUAAUACUAAUUUAAGGAAUUAAUUAAUCAAAUAAAAAGGGGUUAAUAAUUAAUAUAUUAAAUAGAUAAAAAGAUAAAAAAGAAUCAAUCUAAAAAUGAAAAUAAGAGAAUAAGAAUUAAGUGAAUUGAAACAUCUAAGUAACUUAAUAAAGAAAUCAACAGAGAUAAUAAGUGUAGCGGUGAGUGAAAUUAUUAAAAUCUUAAAGUAAUAUCAAGAGAUAUGAAUAAAGUAGUACCAACUACUAAGAUAAAAAAGAAUAUAUUAAAUAAAAGUACUGUAAAGGAAAUAAAUGAAAUAGAUUAGUAGAGAGCAGUUAUAGUGAUAACGUACCUUUUGUAUAAUGGGCCAGUGAGUUAUUUAUAUUAGUGAAAUAGAAAAAUUAAAAUAAAAAUGAAAAUAUAAUAAAAUUAAUAUAAAUAGGCCCGAAAGCAGACGAUCUAAAUAUAUCCAAGUAUAUAUAUAUAUUUAUAAUAUAAAACCAAACAAAAUAAGGAAAUAUAAAAUAAAUAAAUCUAAAAAAAAGAUAAUAUAUAUAUGACUCAAUAGGUAAUUGUAGCAAUAAUUUCUAAAGAGAUGUGUUUAGCAGUGACAGACAAAUCUGGUUUGCCGAUAGCUGGUUUUCUACGAAAUAUAUUUUAGUAUAGCCUUUAUUAAAUCUUUAAACUGGUACAGCACUUAAAUAACUUUGGGGAAUUAUAUAAAAUUUUAUCAAAAUAUUUAAACCUCGAAAUCAGUAUAUAAGUUAAAUAAAGAGUCAGACUUAUUGCGAUAAGGUAGUAAGUCGAGAAGGAAACAACCUAGACUAUUAAAUAAAAGUCCCAAAUUAUUAGUUAAGUGAAUAUAAUCUAUCUUAUAUAUCUUUUUAUUCUAUAAACAGUUUAGUUGAAUAUAGUAUUAUUUGAGAUAUUUAUUUAUAUGGCCGGCUACGCCGGAUAUUUAAAUUAUAAAUUUAAUUAAAUUAUAGACAAUUAGUUAGUGGGUUUGACAAUAAUCAUCUUAUAAAGAACAUGUAACAAUGCACUAAUUUGAUAUAUAUAUAUAUAUAUAUUUAUAUAUAUAUUUAUUAAUAAUAGAGAUAAUAUACGGGUCUAAACUAAUAACUUAAUUAUAGAUAUUUAAUAAAAAAAAAUAAAUAUGGUAGUAGAAUAUAUAAUGAAAAAUUAUAAAGAUAUUGCUGGCUUGAGUAACGAUAGGUAAAAUAAAUUUACCCUCUUAUAUAUAAGGUUUAACUAUAAAAGAACGGUCUCUAAGAUAUUAAUAGAAAUAUAAAUAUUGAUGAGAAAAAAAACAUGUAAAAAAAAAAUAAACCGUACUGUAAACCGACACAGGUAUAUUAAAAGGAGAAUGAGAUAACUACUCUGAAUGAACUCGGCAAAUGCUAUAAAUAAGCUAAAUCGUGCGACUGUUUACCAAAAACAUAGCUUAUUGCAUAUUAGUAAUAAUAAGUAUAAUAAGUGAUAUCUGUCCAGUGUUUAUUAGAUAAAAAAGUUAAAAUCUUUAUAAUAAAUAAAUAAACGACGGUCUUAUUGUGAGGAUCCAAAGGUAGCGAAAUUCAUUGACGUAUAAUUGACGUCCUGCAUGAAUGAAUAAACGAUGCGAUGACUGUAUCCAGAGUAGACUCAGUGAAAUAGCAAUUGCGGUGAAGAUGCCGUAUACCCGUAGGUUGACAAAAAGACCCUAUGCAGCUUUACUAUAUCUUUAUAUUGACUUAAAAUAAUAUAUAUAUAUAUAUAUUAUUCUUAAUCUAUCUAUUACAGUAUAAUAGGCUAAAUUUAUAAUCUUUUUCAUUGAAUAAGAUAAUUUAAAUAAAAUGAGAUACCUAUGCAGAUAGCAUUAAAGAGUCUAAUUUUAAAUUAAAAUAUCUCUUUAUCUUAUCUAGUUAAAGAGAUUAAUUAUAAUUAUAUUAUAAUUCCGGCUAUGCCGGCAAUAAAAGACCGUAUAAAGAGGUUAGUUUCGAUGGGGCGUCGACAUCAGCGAAAGCAUCUGAUGUGUCUAAAUAUAAUAAUUAUAUUAAUAUAUUAUAUAUAUAAUAGAAAUAACGUACAAUUAAUCUAUAUGGUAAAUAGAAUAAAAAAAAAAUAAAAAAAAGGAUAACAACAUAAUUGUGCGAUGAUAGAAAUACAAACAAGUAGAUCUAGUACUUAAGUAGAGUGUAGUGAACAGGCAUAAACAAAUGGUAUGGAUGUCGAUAACGGAUUAAAGUUACGCUAGGGAUUAAAAGUUAGUUCCUUUAUAUAGAAAACUAAUUAAUUAGUUGAAUAUAUAUUAUCUACGCGAUAGUUAGAUAACCUUUUAAUAAAAAAGGUAUAUAAUUGGGUGAAUUGCAAAAAUCUCUUAUUUAAAGAUAAUUUGCAGCGAAGCAUAUAUUAGUUUUUAUAGAUAUAUGAACGUUCAACGACUAGUAAUUGAGUAAACUAACAAUAAUAUUACCACGAGCGCCCAAUACCUAAUUAUUUAUUUAUACUUCAUUAUAAAAUUUAAAACAUAUUAUAAAUAACCCGGCUACGCCGGGCAUAUAUAAAUUAUAUAUUAAUGACUUAGUAGCUGGGUAAUAUAUAAAUAAGAAAAUAAAAUAAAAAGUAUACCCGGCUACGCCGGCCAUAUUGUAAAAUAUAAUUAGGUAAAGACAUAGUCUGAACUAUAUAGUGAUAUAUAGAAGUUGUAAAAUUAAAAAAACAACGAUAACAAAAUUGAACAGGGUAAUACUGCGUGAGAGUUGAUAUCGUCAGCAGUGUUUGCCACCUCGAUGUCGUCUAGACUCGUCCUCCUGGUAGUAGUCACUAGGUAGGGUAGGACUGUUCGUCCUCUAAGGAGUUACUUGAGAUGGGUUAAUUACGACGUGAGUCAGUAAUGAUUUUAUCAUCUAUGGGUUUUAACUUAUCUAUUGCCUUAAGUGUACGCAAGGAUAAUAAGGUAUAUUCCUAUGAUUAUAAUUAUAUAAUUUUUUAUAUAUAAUUUUAGUUAAGAAUAUUAAGUUUACAUAUUGAAAGCAUAUCAAAUAUUAAAUCAUUUAGAUAAGUUAUUAACAUUAUAGACUAUAAUGUUAUAGUAUUAUUAUUAAUAAAAUAAAUAAUAAACUAAUUAAAAAAAUACAUACACCU
rnacentral:rRNA from 1 species